rnacentral:rRNA from 1 species
CCUACGGGGGGCAGCAGUGGGGAAUAUUGCACAAUGGGCGAAACCCUGAUGCAGCGACGCCGCGUGAGUGAAGAAGUAUCUCGGUAUGUAAAGCUCUGUCAGCAGGGAAGAAAAUGUCGGUACCUGUCCAAGAAGCCCCGGCUAACUACGUGCCAGCAGCCGCGGGAAUACGUAGGGGGCCAGCGUUAUCCGGAUUUACUGGGUGUAAAGGGAGCGUAGACGGCAGGGCAAGUCUGGAGUGAAAGGCGGGGGCUCAACCCCCGGACUGCUCUGGAAACUGCCAGGCUGGAGUGCAGGAGAGGUAGGUGGAAUGCGUAGUGUAGCGGUGAAAUGCGUAGAUAUUAGGAAGAACACCAGUGGCGAAGGCGGCUUACUGGACUGUAACUGACGUUGAGGCUCGAAAGCGUGGGGAGCAAACAGGAUUAGAUACCCCUGUAGUC